rnacentral:rRNA from 1 species
GAUGAACGCCGGCGGCGUGCCUAAUACAUGCAAGUCGAACGAAGAUCUAGCUUGCUAGAUCUUAGUGGCGAACGGGUGAGUAAUACAUAAAUAAUCUGCCCAUUGGACUGGGAUAACUAUUGGAAACGAUAGCUAAUACCGGAUAGGUGAUUUGAAGGCAUCUUCGAAUCAUUAAAGUAGGGUCACUACACCAAUGGAUGAGUUUAUGGCGCAUUAGUUAGUUGGCGGGGUAACGGCCCAACAAGACGAUGAUGCGUAGCCGACCUGAGAGGGUGACCGGACACACGGGGACUGAGACACGGCCCAGACUCCUACGGGAGGCAGCAGUAGGGAAUUUUCGGCAAUGGGCGCAAGCCUGACCGAGCAACGCCGCGUGAGUGAUUAAGGCCUUCGGGUUGUAAAGCGCUGUUGUAAGGGAAGAACAUUCAGGAUAGGAAAUGAUCUUGAACUGACGGUACCUUACCAGAAAGCCACGGCUAACUACGUGCCAGCCGCCGCCGUAACAC